rnacentral:rRNA from 1 species
GAUGAACGCUGGCGGCGUGCCUAAUACAUGCAAGUCGAGCGAACAGACGACGAGCUUGCUCCUCUGACGUUAGCGGCGGACGGGUGAGUAACACGUGGAUAACCUACCUAUAAGACUGGGAUAACUUCGGGAAACCGGAGCUAAUACCGGAUAAUAUAUUGAACCGCAUGGUUCAAUAGUGAAAGACGGUUUUGCUGUCACUUAUAGAUGGAUCCGCGCCGCAUUAGCUAGUUGGUAAGGUAACGGCUUACCAAGGCAACGAUGCGUAGCCGACCUGAGAGGGUGAUCGGCCACACUGGAACUGAGACACGGUCCAGACUCCUACGGGAGGCAGCAGUAGGGAAUCUUCCGCAAUGGGCGAAAGCCUGACGGAGCAACGCCGCGUGAGUGAUGAAGGUCUUCGGAUCGUAAAACUCUGUUAUUAGGGAAGAACAAAUGUGUAAGUAACUAUGUACGUCUUGACGGUACCUAAUCAGAAAGCCACGGCUAACUACGUG